CCUGCACUUCGGUGCGGCCGACCGCCGUGGAGCUGUCUCUUCAUUGUUUCCUCCGUUGUGCUCCGGAAGCCGGGGAGGAACGCUUGGAUCGGUUGCCUGUGCGGUUGUACCCUUUUGCGGUAUAUUUUCGUCCUACUUGUGAUGCUUGCGGCGUCGACAGCUCCUGUCGGCGGGCGCAGCCGAGUUGACGGCACGGUGCGUGUGCGGUUUCGGGCUGAGGCCCUGUCGCCGCGGGCGCAUUUUGUCGGCUCUCACGGAUGCGGUGCCCAUCGAGGAUUCCGCAAGCCUGCGGCUUGUGGAUUUCUUCGGGACGUCCGUUGCGCGUUACUGUGGUGUCGCUCCGCCGCUCCGCCCUCUCCGGAGAGCGAGACCGGCGGAGCGCUGCCCCGUUGCGCCUGCGAGAUGUUUGUCCCAUCGGAAUGAACCGAAUGAGCGACUGCCGCGCGUCGUCGUGCGACGGUGUUCCCGUCCCCGUCUCGAGACGUGGGUGGGGGGUGCGCCGGUCCUCGGGGCGCCGGCUCUCGUUAAGAC
rnacentral:misc_RNA from 1 species